rnacentral:rRNA from 1 species
AGAAUCAACGCUGGCGGCGUGCCUAACACAUGCAAGUCGAACGAGAAAGUGGAGCAAUCCAUGAGUAAAGUGGCGCACGGGUGAGUAACACGUGACUAACCUACCCUUGAGUGGGGGAUAACCUAGGGAAACCUGGGCUAAUACCGCAUAAUACCUACGGGUCAAAGGAGCAAUUCGCUUUAGGAGGGGGUCGCGGCAGAUUAGUUAGUUGGCGGGGUAAUGGCCCACCAAGACAGUGAUCUGUAUCCGGCCUGAGAGGGCGCACGGACACACUGGAACUGAAACACGGUCCAGACUCCUACGGGAGGCAGCAGUGGGGAAUUUUGCGCAAUGGGGGAAACCCUGACGCAGCAACGCCGCGUGGAGGAUGAAGCCCCUUGGGGCGUAAACUCCUUUCGAUCGGGAAGAUAAUGACGGUACCGGAAGAAGAAGCCCCGGCUAACUUCGCGCCAGCAGCCGC